AUUGAACGCUGGCGGCAUGCCUUACACACGCAAGUCGAACGGUAACAGGUCUUCGGAUGCUGACGAGUGGCGAACGGGUGAGUAAUACAUCGGAACGUGCCCGAUCGCGGGGGAUAACGAACCGCAAGCUUUGCUAAUACCGCAUAAGCUCCAUGGAUGAAAGCAGGGGAACGCAAGGCCUCGAGCGAACGGAGAGGCCGAUGGCAGAUGAGGUAGUUGGUGGGAUAAAAGCUUACCAAGCCGACGAUCUGUAGCUGGUCUGAGAGGACAACCAGCCACACUGGGACUGAGGCACGGCCCAGACUCCUACGGGAGGCAGCAGUGGGGAAUUUUGGACAAUGGGCGAAAGCCUGAUCCAGCCAUGCCGCGUGCAGGAUGAAGGCCUUCGGGUUGUAAACUGCUUUUGUACGGAACGAAAAGACUCUUUCUAAUAAAGAGGGUCCAUGACGGUACCGUAAGAAUAAGCACCGGCUAACUACGUGCCAGCAGCCGCCGUAAGAC
rnacentral:rRNA from 1 species